AGGCGAGGAGGGAGAGAGAGGGGGGAGGGAGGUGGAGCGCAUGGGCACUGCGCCUCUCCAGCAUGGCUACGGUGCUGUCACGGGCGCUGAAGCUGCCGGGAAAGAAGAGCCCAGACCUUGGGGAAUACGAUCCUCUCACUCAGGCUGACAGUGAUGAAAGUGAAGAUGACCUGGUACUCAACAUCCAGAAGAACGGGGGUGUCAAGAAUGGGAAGAGUCCCCCUGAGGAGGUGCAGGACCCUGACUCUGAUGUGGAGGUUGGGAUGACAAAGCAGCACACGUCAGAGAGCGCACCUGAGGGUUAUCCUGCAGAGGUGGCUGGGAGUUUGGAGCAGAAGACUGCUCCCUCUCUCAUGCCAUACUUGCGCACAGCGAUCUUUUUGCUCACUGUGGUGAUCUCGAUGAUUCUGGUGCUGGUGUGCGCAUUUCUAAUUCCCUGUCCCCCUAGAGACUUGCAUAACACGUGGAACCGCAACCUAGGGCAGGGAACAGGUGGUGUAUUAUCCCCACUGGAGCUGUGUGACGUGAACGGCGAUGGGCUCCCUGACAUCCUGAUUGUAUUCACUGCCUUGAUGAAUGCUAGCGUCAUGGGUGUCUCUAGGCCCUCCGUAACUGUGGUGGCCCUUUCUGGUAUGAAUGGCAGCACCCUGUGGUCCAUCCAGCUUCCAGAGGAGACUCGGAGUGUGCAGUGCAAAGGGCUGUCACUGGGGGCACCUGCAGAGCCCGUCUGUCUUGUUACAGGAACAUCAAAAUUUCUUAGCCUUCUCAGCGCCUCCACAGGCAAGACCAUCUGGACACUAAACUCCAUCCACCUUUCAAGUGGGAUCCUGGCUGCACCAGCUGCAACUCUUCCAGAUGUAGAUGGAGAUGGUUUUAGGGAUAUUGUUGUUCUGGCUCUCAAAGAGACACAGCCUGAUGUGUUUUUCAUCUUGGUGUCAGGAAAGACUGGGACUGCUUUGGGUGGGCCUGUGAGGUACAGCACCAAUGGAGAAGGGAAAGUGAUUGGCCCCCAAGUCCACAUUACCAGUCGGGGAGCCAUCUACAUCCUGUUUGGUUUUGGUAAUGUUCAAGCAGUUGCCCUGAGGGAUAUCUUUACUCAAGCCAGAAACAGGGACAGUUUUUCUGCAAUGCUGCAGCAGGAGGAACCAGAGUGGGAAAAGCGCAGAUCUGUCAACCUGUCAGAGCUCAUUGACAUUUACAGUGGGGGUGUCGACUUCCUGCAGACAAUGAAGACACCUGACACAAAUUGCAGCAACCUGCUCAUCACAUCCAAAGAGGGUUUGAUCCUGCUGCGGGGGCAAGACCUGGAGCCCCGCUGGACCUUGGAACUGCAGAACAUCAGCAGCGAGCCUGUACCAGGUUACUUCAGUGCUGACCAAACUCUGGACUUCCUGCUGCAAGCACAGACGGGAGAUGGGAACAAAAAGGUGAUGGUGGUAGAUGGCAAAUCCGGCCUCCCUCUUUGGAACCAGGAACUCCCAUGGCAGAAGCAACAACUCGAUGCACUGUCAGUCAUGACUUUGGACAAGAAGUCUGUUUUUCUCUUCUGGGCUGAUGAAGCACAGCCUGUGUUGCAAAGUUUGGUGAGCAAGCAUCCUUUCUUCACUUUGAGCAUCCUGGUGCCAGACCUGAGCGCCCAGGGCUUCACCACCUCUAUCUCCUCCAUCCUGUUUUUCCUACAGUCCUUUUGGACCUCACCAAUGCAACAGACAAAGUCAUUGCUUCAGCAGUUGGAAUUAAUGACCUCCAGAAGGAUGCAUUUCAAAUCACUGUGACAACAACUGCAACCUCUGAAAAACAGCCAGGAUUUCUCUCAGUCAGCAAACUGGGCCUGAAGUGGGCCAUGAUGAGUCAAGGUCGAAUGGUGUGGCUGAAGGACACCACCACUCCCAAAAUCAGCCGUGGAGAAGUGAGAAGAUUUCUUGCCUGGCUGAAAUUUGUUGACUUUCCUCAACGGCUCUAGCCUGGUGGUUCCUCAGAUUUUGGUUGAACCUGUGGCCUGUACGGGGAAUACAUGAAGCUGCUCUGUGGAUCUCCAGGAAAACUGUUGCGUAGAGGGAAUAGGGGCUAAAAGCACUUCCCCUUUCUACCACUCUCUGGGGAAUGCUGCUUGAGGCAGGUUUGUCCAAGGCAGACCUGUCCUGUACCAGAGGAACUUUGUUCAGCAUCUCCCCCUCCAUAUGCCAUUCUUGCAUGCUUCCUUCCAGGUAACACAGAAAUGUGAAUUUAGAAUUUAUAUACAUAUAUAUAUAAAAAAACAGGUUUUAUAUAUAUAUGUAUCAAGUUAUAGAAUAUAUGUAUAUUUUUUGUAUGUUUAAUUUAUAAAUGAGAUUUAGGACACUCCUUUUUAUGUCCAAACAGUAUUCCCAGACAGUCAGACAAGCUCCAGGCCUAGAGUGGGCCAUGAUGACUCAAGGCAAACGAUGUGGCUAAAGGCAUCACCUGCUUUAGUCUUCUAUAUUUUUGGGCAGAAGCUUCUGUCUGGCCCCUGCAGGGCUAAUCUUGUCUACAACCUUUCCUGUGCUCUCAGCCCUCUUCUCCAUUCUCACCCCAAACUCACAAACAAAUUAGGUCUCUGGCUGAAUUAGAGAAAUCUAGAGAAAGAUGGUCCCCACAGCAUUUGCCAGCCUUGCACUUGUAUAUUUCUUUCCCCAGUUCCAAGUUCAGGACAGGUUUGUGUGGGUGAUGCAAAAAGGUUCACAUCUUAUUUAUAUCCAUUGCUAAGCUUUUUAUAAACCCAAAGUAACAUCACACUGCAGUCCAAUGGGCAGAGUCCUCUUUUGCAAAAGCAUCACAGCCCUUUUGGGAUAGAUUCCCAGCAGAUCCCCACUGUCACUGUAAAGAUCACACUAGGUACAGUCAUAGCAAAGCUGAUUCUUGCACCACUGCUUCAGGGUUUAGAUCUCAGGCAGAGGCAGAACUGGAAAGCUUUUCUGUGCAUUUAACCCCAUUAAUAUUCUGGGCCUAGUGUUACCAUUCCCUUGCCAGCCCAGCCCUAUGUGCGGUUCCAGGAGGAACAGACUACCCCCAGGGUGCAUUUGCUCACAGUAUGUUUAGUGCUUUGAAGUAUGCCUCUGAGUGUGCCAUCAGUCUUCUGUGUUGUAGUUGCAGAGCAUCUACAUGUAUUUUCUUGGACUAGAAAUGCCCAUAUAAAAAUCAACCACUCUGAUGCCUCAGCAGCUCCCCAUAGUGCAGGGCAACAACAUAGGAACUCUUUUCCUAGUAUGCCUUUCUAGGUCUGACCUUUGAUAUUAGGCAGAACCAGGCCGAGAUGAGGAUUGCAAAGGACUUUUCUGUUCUCCUGCUGGCACAUGCCUUUCCAGCCUCUCUCUGCUUCCCUUUGAGUGGUGAGGUGAUGGCAGGACUUUAACCCUCCCUCCAGAUAAACACAUCUACCAUGGGUUUGCUCUCCUGGGCUCUUGACACCUCUCCUUGCUAUAUCACCCUCUCUCUUUGCCAUCCCUGCCUUUCCAUAUAAAGCUUCCAGGAUAUCCCUUCAGGAUUAGCUGUAAGCCCCAAGGCUGGUCCUUGGGCCCUGCACUCCUAAUGUCAGAGCCUGUCAACAGUUUGUAUAUGUUUAAUGGUAUUUUUGUGUAAAUAGCUUUGUAUAUAUUAGCCCAACUGUAGCAAUGGCUCCAGGCCUGGCAUUUUCUUCCAGACAGGGGUUAGUAUUUAUAAUAUAUAGUCAGUUAAUACAGCUGCAUAACAGGGACUGAAAGUGUGAGGACCAGUAACAUGAGGAUUAAACAGGAGUCCCCCUUCCCUCCUUUCUAGCCACCACCUUGCUGGGAAAGGUGAAGCGGCUGUUACCUGAAGUAGUUAUUUUCCUGAGGUUCUUCUUGAGAAAACUGGUAUUCGAGUGCAGUGAUGUUUACUGUGAGGGUGGUGAGGCCCUGGCACAGGUUGCCCAGAGAAGCUGUGGCUGCCCCAUCCCUGGCAGUGUUCAAGGCCAGGCUGGGUGGGGCUUGAAGCAACCUGCUCUAGUGGAAGGUGUCCCUGCCUGUGGCAGGGGGUUGGAACUGGAUGAGCUUUAACCCAAACCAACCUUCCAACCCAAACCACUCCACGAUUCUAUGAUUCUAUGUUAGCUCCUCCAUAAUGUGAAUUCACUCUGCCCGCACACACACAUCCCCACUGUGAAUAAAGAGUCUGUCUGUAUAUUGUUGGGAAAAUGUAUUUGAACUGUGAACUGCAGUGGAGCAAAUAAAUACCCUGUACAGCAUC